rnacentral:lncRNA from 1 species
ACUUCUUCCCUCUUGAAAUUUUCACAUGAAGGAGCUCAGACAUAAAAUCCCUCUUCUUCCUUGCACACUCUUUUCUUGAAAUUUCUCCUUAAAGGAGUUCAAUUUCAUCAUUUUUUUCAUUACAGGGUCUCCUUAAAGGGGUUCAAUUUCACCGAAUAUAGGCCAAGUCAUUCUUUCAUUACGGGGUGUGGUUUGCAUAGGGCUGAAGCCCCAAAUAAUCAAAGUGAGACGCACUUUUAAAUUGUGUUGAAAUAUGCUUUUUAGUACUGUAAAUUUUUGUGAUGGUUAAAAGUCUUGUUUUCAUAUCAAAUUAUAUACUUAAAAAAAUAUGUGAAUCGAGUAGUUCUAUGAACACUUGAAAAAUAUUGAAAAUUGACGGUCCAAAAAUACUAUAAGAUGGAUUAUUUCUAAGACUUGAAAUCUAUUUUUUCAUGACCAUACAUCUUGAGUUUGAGAUAAUUGAUUUGAGGAUUUUUGAAAUUUCUUUGUUUUUUUGAACGGUGAUGUAUGGAAAUACUGUAGUAGAUUUUUGAGGUGUGCUUUAAUUUAAUUGUUUAACGCCUCACUCUCUCAUAUAAACUUUUUCCUUCAUUAAAUGGUAUUCAUGCUUUUGAUGUCCUCGAUCAGUCAGUUUUGAUCUUAGAUUUUUUGGCACGAUAUUUCUAUCCCACAGGAUGAGAGAGAGACGGAGAAAUCGGCAAAGGCAGCAAAAAAGAUGCGAGCACAUAUACCAUGCUCCCUGAGGGGCACAGUUCUACUGCCUUAGCUCGAAGAGAAACUUGGGAGGAUUCUUUUCAAAAUUUG